GAAACCCUGAUGCAGCGAUGCCGCGUGAGUGAAGAAAGGCCUUUNAUUCUAAAACUCUUUCGUCGGAGAAGAAAAUGACUGUACCCGAAUAACAAUUUCUCGGGCAAACUUCGUAGCCAGCACCCCCCGUAAUACGAAGGGACCUAGCGUAGUUCGGAAUUACUGGGCUUAAAGAGCUCGUAGGUGGUUAAAAAAGUUGAUGGUGAAAUCCCAAGGCUUAACCUUGGAACUGCCAUCAAAACUUUUUAGCUAGAGUGUGAUAUGAGGUAAGUGGAAUUUCUAGUGUAGAGGUGAAAUUCGUAGAUAUUAGAAAGAACACCAAAUGCGAAGGCAACUUACUGGGUCACUACUGACACUGAGGAGCGAAAGCAUGGGUAGCGAAGAGGAUUAGAUACCCUCGUAGUCCAUGCCGUAAACGAUGUGUGCUAAGACCGUUUGGAAAUAUAUUUUUCAAGUGUCGCAGCCGAAAGCAUUAAGCACACCGCCUGGGGAGUACGACCCGCAAGGUUAAAACUCAAAUUGAAUUGACGGGGACCCGCACAAGCAGUGAAGCAUGUUGGUUUAAUUCUAAGAUACCCCCAAAACCUUACCAACACUUGACAUGUUCGUCCCCAGACUUAAAAAAAUUAAUCCUUUCAAUUUCCGGCUGGACAAAACACAAGUGCUGCAUGGCUUGUCCAUCAACCUUCCUUGUUCCUGAAGAAUUUUGGGUUAAAUUCCCCCAACAAAGCCCAACCCCCUUACUUUUUAAGUUUGCCCCCCCAUUUUAGUUUGGGCCACCUUUAAAAAGAAAACCUUCCCACUUAUAUUAAAACCUUGGAAGGAAAGGUGGGGGAAAUAACCCUCCAAAUUCCCCUCAAUGGGCCCCUUAAUUUUUUUGGGG
rnacentral:rRNA from 1 species